rnacentral:rRNA from 2 species
AUGAUCCAGAGUACCACGGGACACGUGAAACCCUGUGGGAAGCAGGAGGGACCACCCUCCAAGGCUAAAUACUACCUAGUGACCGAUAGCGUAUAGUACCGUGAGGGAAAGGUGAAAAGAACCCCGGGAGGGGAGUGAAAUAGAACCUGAAACCCUGCACUUACAAGCUGUGGAAGCACAUUUCUUGUGUGACCGCGUACUUUUUGUAGAACGGGCCAACGAGUUACGUUAAGUAGCAAGGUUAAGCACUUAAGGUGUGGAGCCGUAGCGAAAGCGAGUUUUAACUGAGCGUUCAGUUACUUGACGUAGACCCGAAACCGGGCGACCUACCCAUGAGCAGGAUGAAGCGAAAGUAAAAUUUCGUGGAGGUCCGAACCCACGAGCGUUGAAAAGCUCGGGGAUGACUUGUGGGUAGCGGUGAAAUUCCAAUCGAGCCCGGAGAUAGCUGGUUCUCCCCGAAAUAGCUUUAGGGCUAGCCUCAAGGUGAGAGAUACGGAGGUAGAGCACUGAAUGUCCUAGGGGGUAUUGCACCUACCGAAGACUAUCAAACUCCGAAUGCCGUCAUCUUAUACUUGGGAGUCAGACUGUGGGUGAUAAGAUUCAUAGUCGAAAGGGCAACAGCCCAGAUCGUCAGCUAAGGUCCCUAAAUGUAAGUUAAGUGGUAAAGGAUGUGGGAUUGCACAGACAACCAGGAUGUUGGCUUAGAAGCAGCCACUCAUUCAAAGAGUGCGUAAUAGCUCACUGGUCGAGUGAUCCUGCGCCGAAGAUUUCCGGGGCUAAAACUUACUACCGAAGCUACGGCAUCAGUAAUGAUGGGUAGGGGAGCUUCCCAUACGGGUUGAAGCAUGACCGUAAGGACAUGUGGACAGUAUGGGAGUGAGAAUGUUGGCAUGAGUAGCGAGAUGUGGGUGAGAAUCCCACAGGCCGUAAACCCAAGGUUUCCAGGGGAAGGUUCGUCCGCCCUGGGUUAGUCGGGACCUAAGCUGAGGCCGAAAGGCGUAGGUGAUGGACAACAGGUUGAUAUUCCUGUACUACCGAUAACCGUUUGAGAGAAGGGAUGACACAGUAGGAUAAGCUAAGCACACUGUUGGUUAUGUGUGCCCAAGCAUUGAGGCAGUCAAAGUAGGCAAAUCCGCUUUGAUAAUGCUGGGAUGUGAUGGGGAGCGAAAUUUAGUAGCGAAGUAGCUGAUUUCACACUGUCAAGAAAAGUCUCUAUCGAGGUUAAAGGUACCCGUACCGCAAACCGACACAGGUGGGUGAGGAGAGUAUCCUAAGGCCAGCGAGAGAACUGUUGUUAAGGAACUCGGCAAAAUGACCCCGUAACUUAGGGAUAAGGGGUGCCACCAUCAGGUGGCCGCAGAGAAUAGGCCCAAGCGACUGUUUACCAAAAACAUAGGUUUCUGCUAAGUCGCAAGACGAUGUAUAGGAGCUGACGCCUGCCCGGUGCUGGAAGGUUAAGGGGAUCUGUUAGAGCAAUCGAAGCAGUGAACUUAAGCCCCAGUAAACGGCGGCCGUAACUAUAACGGUCCUAAGGUAGCGAAAUUCCUUGUCGGGUAAGUUCCGACCCGCACGAAAGGCGUAACGAUUUGGGCACUGUCUCAACAACAGACUCGGUGAAAUUGUAAUUCCGGUGAAGAUGCCGGAUACCUGCGACAGGACGGAAAGACCCCAUGGAGCUUUACUGUAGCUUGACAUUGGGUCUUGGUACUACAUGUACAGGAUAGGUGGGAGGCUUUGAAACCAGGACGCCAGUUUUGGCGGAGCCAUCCUUGGGAUACCACCCUUGUAGUACUGGGACUCUAACCAUAGGCCAUGAAUCUGGUCUUGGGACACUGUCAGGUGGGCAGUUUGACUGGGGCGGUCGCCUCCCAAAAGGUAACGGAGGCGCUCAAAGGUUCUCUCAGUACGGUCGGAAAUCGUACGUAGAGUGUAAAGGCAAAAGAGAGCUUGAUUGCAAGACAUACAGGUCGAGCAAGGAUGAAAAUCGGACUUAGUGAUCCGGUGGUUCUGCGUGGAAGGGCCAUCGCUCAACGGAUAAAAGCUACCCUGGGGAUAACAGGCUUAUCUCCCCCAAGAGUCCACAUCGACGGGGAGGUUUGGCACCUCGAUGUCGGCUCAUCACAUCCUGGGGCUGUAGUAGGUCCCAAGGGUUGGGCUGUUCGCCCAUUAAAGUGGUACGCGAGCUGGGUUCAGAACGUCGUGAGACAGUUCGGUCCCUAUCCGUCGCAGGCGUAGGAAAUUUGAGAAGACCUGUCCUUAGUACGAGAGGACCGGGAUGGACGUACCUCUGGUGUACCAGUUGUUCUGCCAAGGGCAUGGCUGGGUAGCUAUGUACGGAAUGGAUAAGCGCUGAAAGCAUCUAAGCGCGAAGCCAACUUCAAGAUAAGAUUUCCCACCGCAAGGGUAAGACCCCAGAAAGACUAUCUGGUUGAUAGGUCGAAGGUGUAAGUGCAGCAAUGUAUUUAGCUUAUCGAUACUAAUAGGUCGAGGACUUGACCAA